UACGUAGGGGCCGAGCGUUGUCCGGAGUUAUUGGGCGUAAAGCGCGCGCAGGCGGCCUCGCGCCGCCCGACGUGAAAGCCCCCCGGCUUAACCGGGGAGAGUCGUUGGGGACGGCGGGGCUUGAGGGCGGGAGAGGUCGGUGGAAUUCCCGGUGUAGUGGUGAAAUGCGUAGAUAUCGGGAGGAACACCAGUGGCGAAGGCGGCUACCUGGCCCAUUCUGACGCUGAGGCGCGAAAGCUAGGGGAGCAAACGGG
rnacentral:rRNA from 1 species